GAAAGCCACGGCUAACUACGUGCCAGCAGCCGCGGUAAUACGUAGGUGGCAAGCGUUAUCCGGAAUUAUUGGGCGUAAAGCGCGCGUAGGCGGUUUUUUAAGUCUGAUGUGAAAGCCCACGGCUCAACCGUGGAGGGUCAUUGGAAACUGGAAAACUUGAGUGCAGAAGAGGAAAGUGGAAUUCCAUGUGUAGCGGUGAAAUGCGCAGAGAUAUGGAGGAACACCAGUGGCGAAGGCGACUUUCU
rnacentral:rRNA from 1 species